AUACGGAGGAUGCAAGCGUUAUCCGGAUUUAUUGGGUUUAAAGGGUGCGUAGGCGGAUGAUUAAGCGUGAGGUGAAAUGCCACUGCUCAACAGUGGAACUGCCUCGCGAACUGGUUGUCUUGAAUGCUCCUGCAGUGGGAGGAAUGUGUGGUGUAGCGGUGAAAUGCAUAGAGAUCACACAGAACACCGAUUGCGAAGGCAUCUCACGAAGGGGUGAUUGACGCUGAGGCACGAAAGCGUGGGGAUCAAACAGGAUUAGAUACCCUGGUAGUCCACGCAGUAAACGAUGAUAACUAACCGCUGGGUCGUAGUGAUUCAGUGGCCAAGCGAAAGCGAUAAGUUAUCCACCUGGGGAGUACGACCGCAAGGUUGAAAC
rnacentral:rRNA from 1 species